ACGUGGAAGGAAUGCUGUAUUUUAUCGUGGCCUACCCUCACUGCUAGAACUGUUGUUGAUGGACCGAGUACACUUGACACAAACUCAAGACAUGUCUUUACUCCUUAUUAUUAAUGAGUAUUUCCUUUCUGAUUUACUAUGCUUUCUGAUUUACUAUGGGUACAUUCUGCUAAUAUUAAUGAUAUCGGUUAAUACCUUCCUCCCAUAUAAAGUCAGAGAAGCUCAUUGCAGCUUGUUAUCUGAUAUGAUUGAGGAUUUCUGAAUUGUGUCUUUUUCAAGCAGCCAUUUCUGAGGGUGGGCAGCUUGCUUUGUUGAUUUCCAGGGUAUAGACAAAGUCUUUGGAAACAAUGGCAGCUAACGACAACUGUAGUACUAUUGCUUUUCCUUUCAGUCCUAUCUUUAUGUGAAUAAGAGCAAUUGGGUGCAUGUUAAAAAAAGAAAAAUGUCGACAAAAGCAUUGCUCUUUACUCAUCUUACUCAAGUAAUCAGCAUAGAUUUGCUAAGUGGUUCAGUGAACAUUCGUCCCUCCUUCCUGUUAUGAGCAGUCAGCUCAGCUUUCCUGCCUACACUAUAUCACAGCCCCAUGGUCCUGCUGCUCUCCUUGUCUCCAUACCAGCUACUUGCUCCCUUCCUGGACAGUCGAUCCUGCUCUCUACAGCCAGUCUCUUUGAAGUUAAUUACUCCUGUCCUGAAAGAAGAUUCUACUGAAAAUGAAAGAAAAAAGAUACGAAGUUUAAAAAAUGGAAGCUGUAUGACGCAGUAGUCAAAAGAAAUGGAGAUAAAUGCUGACCUGUAAACAUUUAACAACCAGAGCAUUAAUCAAAUGAUGUAAGGUCAUCAAUUCUCUUCUAAGACUGACCACAGAGCAAUGAAUAACAGAUGCAUCAUCUUCCACAUGUAAAGACUGAAAUCCAGAUUCUGAUUUGACUCUCACCCUUUUGGUCAGAGUCCUACACUUCACUGAAGUCUCUGAAAAUGCCAGAUGAGUUGUAAAAGGGAAGCAGAACUCUUCAGAGAUGAAACGGUUACCAGUCCUGCCCUUCUGUGCAUUCAGUAUUUGAAAAGAGCAACUUCGCCUUCCCCUAUAAGAACAGCUGAAGAUACUACAAAAUAAGAAGUCAUCUGAGAAAAUAAGUUGUGUGGAUUAGAGCUCAUUGCCGGUGUGUUUGUACAGAACACGACAAGGCUCCACCAUCUGGGACCACGUCCUCAUAGCCAACACCAAACUAGAAAAGAAAGGGCACGGAACAGAGGGCACACUGACCCAAGCUGGAAGGACUGAAACAGAGACCACCCAUCUCAGUAGAGCACUGGAUACACCAAAUCUUGGCAGCCUGAGGAAGAGGAGCUGCAGGCCUGAAACCACGGACUUGGAUAAAUAAAUGACAGAUACAUGACAAUGGAAUAUAAAAUGGACAUCUUCGUAUAGAUUACUUUCCUUGACAUCACAUAAAUCAUAGCUUUCUAUGGAAGAUGAGUCAUUUCCUGUCUAGUCUUAAUUAAAAAUAACACUGGAUAUUAUUUCACCGUCGCCCUAAGAGAGAAGAAAAGCAAGGCUGGAACUUGUCUGAGACUCACAGUCUGAGGCUUGCCUUUAAUACCAGGCAGAAGGUAACAAACCGUUUUGUGGGAAUGUCCCUGCUUAAUGAUGACUUCUGAGGUAUUUGCUGAGCAGUUGGGAAAAACAGAACGAAAAUGUCUCCCAGUCCAUGCCAACCAGGACAGGAGAGGAGGCUGGGAUAGCUGCAUCCCUGACCACAGGGGCUCCAAAGAUGACAUCCACCUAUUCAAGACCACACAGGUGCUGCUUAGUGCCUUUUAAGCACAGACAGCUGAGCUCUAGACAUCCUGUUUUCAUCUUCUGGGAAAGAAGUUGCAAUGAAUCAACCACAAAAAGUCUGUUCAUGCACAGUUCGAGGAGGUCUCAAGUUCUGAGCUCACCUACUUCUUUUUGUUUUCAGUUUUUGCCAAGCAUUUUGCUAAGUGUUUUGAAGUGGAAAUUCAGAUUCUCCUUCUACCAGGUCUGCUUUUCUUCAUUUUGGUAAAAACUGAAGCAAACUGAAAGCUAAUUAUUUCCUGCUUCAACCAGCUAAUUAUUUCCUGCUUCAAGCACAAUAGAGUGUUUAUUGGAAUGUUCCCUAUAAUCCCACCAGAAAUUUUAUAGGACUUCAGUAAUACACCAGCUUCAAAUUAAUUACAUGCAGCUCUUUAUAUAGACAGAUCAUUCUGGAAACUGUCUGUUUCUUUUUUUUUCCUCCUCCUGCAUCAACAACAAAGCAGGAAGCAGGUAUUCACUGGAGUUUCAUACAAAACUUUGUGAUUGCAUAA